AUCCAGCUGAUGAGUCCCAAAUAGGAUGAAACGCACGCACUGGAU
rnacentral:hammerhead_ribozyme from 1 species